UCUUUCAGAGUUGAUUCCUUCACUUUCACGUUACGUCCGGAACGUGAACUGGCCAUUUUAGACCGUGGAUAAGAAAGAAUAUAAUAUUAUUAAUGAUGCAUCGUAAUAGUGAUAAUAAAGAAUUAUCGCACUAAAAGAUAUGAUUGUUUUAUUCUCAAGUGAAUAUACACCAUAUUUUUAGAGAAUUCUUUAAUAAUCCUAUUUGACUCGUAACGUUCUAUCCCAUUUACUAGGUUCCAAUCUAAGGUCAAAGCUUUUGCUCUGAUACCAACUGUGGUGACCCUGCAUACCACUGCAUGUUGUAUUAUACCAGUCGUUGAUAUAACAUUCACGGAGUACCAAUCCGCAAAUGUUACAUCCCUCAGAUUAGUACAACAGAACAUAGCUGUUCCAUAACUCAUUCAUACAUUAUUACAAACCUAAUAUAUCAUCAUCUUGGAGCUCCUCCUGGGUCUAGAGAGGAAUACUCCUGGGUUCGAGUUGAACCCGACUUAGCUUACAAUAUAUAAGUCUCAUACAUUUAUUCUCCUCGAGCAGCUAAGUACUAAGUGUUAAUAUUGCUCGGUUACUACUACUAGUAGGGUACUCUAUGCUUGUUCUCCUUCGGAACCCUCCCCGGCUCCGUAGACGAUGAGGUAGUCCACUCCCUCUACACCUCCGGAGAGGUCUGGCUCUUCAUAGCAGAUCCCAUCUGCUCCUUCUUGGCCAUCGGUGUCCUCCUCAAGUCGAUUCAGACAAUCUAAGCAGGGGAUUUAAGAGUGGUAUGAGUACGAGCGUACUCAACAAGUUCAUAUUAGGAAAGAGGUGUUUAAUGCACUAGCUACGAUACUAGACCAGAAAGUCUAAUACCAAUGCAUUUUUUAAUAACCAUUUCUUCAAAAGGUUGCUUUUAUUAAGAAGAACUAUGUCCGUCAGCCUUCACCGGUUUACUAGAACUUCAUGGACUUCCUUUCCGGCAGCGUUCGCAGUUCCAAAACCCGGAACAGGGAGUGAUAGGUCACGAUUCAUUAAAUUUUGCAGAGGUGUGUUGUUUUACCCUUAAGAGAUCUUAACCAUGGUGCCAACCGGGCAGCUUUCCCGUCCACACUUCCUUUGGUGUGAGGCCCGGUAUAAGGUCUUAGCCAAUCAUAUUCCUCCCCUACCUCGCACACCCACCCUUUGUUGCAAUUCCGACCUUGGGUUCUCGCCGGUCAGCGUAUCCAUAGGAUACCAUCCGACCUCAACUAUUAUCAGGCAUCCUGGCCCGAUACCUUCGUCGGUCGUUGCAACCCAUCAUAGACCGCAUUACCGUGGGGACUUAGGGCUCCCCAACCACUCCGCUUGUCCCUCAGGAUUCAAGUGACUAUGGUAAGCGCAUCUGUUGAUAUACAAGAGGUGGAAAUACGAUUGACUACUCCGUCCCACUCCAGAUCUUAUGGUUAACACGAGUUUUACGACACAGGAAUCACUGGACGACAUUUGUUGUUUAAUCCUAGAUGGAUAUAAACCCAUCGCAAUGUAACCUCCACCAUGUCAACACAUUCCAUGGUUCCAUUGCCAACCACAUAGUCAUAUUCAUAGUUAUGAAAGUAAUACUUUUGCUUUUCAUGCAAGAGUGAUAAGUAUAGUACUUUGCAUAAUCAGAAACAUCAGGCCGUCAAUUUACUAGCUCAGCAAACCACAACCAACGGAUUAUAUAAAUAAAUUACUGACAAAAGAAUUAAGAGAAAUUACCCACCAAUGCCAUUACUUAAUUUUCUCAUACCUCUUCAAUCUUAUUGGGUAAAUCAAGGGCCCAUGGUCAUCUUCAAAAAAUAAACAAUUAUACGUCCUCUGUGUUUUUUUAUGAAGGUUGCCUCUUCCCCAUCCUCAUGGCGCUGCCAUGUUCUCCAUGGAUGCUGAUUGGCAUAUAGACACCUAGAUCCUUCUUCAUGUGGUUGAUCUGCUUCUCUCAUAUGUGUCUUUCGGAGGCAGCCGCAGCAAGUCGGCACAACCAAUGCGGCAACCAGAUCAGCGACAAGGACCGUACGGGAAAGUAGAUUGACUUCACGGCAAGAGUGCACCGGCACCGGCAACUUCCGAUCUUGAUUUGCACCGUCAACGGCAACUUCCGAUCUCGAUUGGCGGCGCUGGCCGACCAGCGACCGCCAAUCAACAUAGAUCGUGUGGCAUCUAGAGGGUGCUCACGUAUACACCUAGUCACCAAAUCCCCUCUCAUAAGCACACACGCGUACGCACCCAUGAUCUAUGUGCAGGUAAUCAUCCAUGGACUCCCGGUUGUUUCCAUUAUGAGCUCGUAUGGGAUUUUCAAAGGUACUACUCCAUAGGCCAUAGGCCAUAGGCAAGAAUUGUGCAAACGGGUUUCAGAAGAAAAAAAAAUAGGCAAAAGCAAGCACACACUCUCACCUAACUAUGAUAUAUGCAGCCCAUACGCAAACAUGCAUGCAUCCUAAGUGAGUUAUCUAUGCUUCCCUUCUUUCAGAUUGCACGUCCCAUCAAGAUAUUUUUUUAGAAAAAGAAUAUGUGCACAUGGAUUAACUAUUAAGGUAAACAAAAUAUAAUUAUGCUGUUUGUUUUUUAUUAGGAAGAAGAGGACCAUGCAGACAAUCAGGUAUCUUACUAGGAAUCUGGGAUACUGAGGUCUGAAAUUCUGCACUCUUGUAUUUAGAGCAAUUUCAACCUAUUCUGCAUGGAGUGUGCUUGAUAUAGGAAGCAGAAGCAUGGGAAGGGGAACAUGCCAGUAGAAGGAAAGACAACUCAGCCUUGGAAUCGUGCUGUCAAUAUGGGUUAAUUUUCGAUCUAUAUAUUCUGAAUUGAAGUGUGCUUAAUGUAUAAUUAUAUUUGGUUAUCCACAGUAGUUAACCAAUGCAGAUAUUGAACAAAAUCAUGAAUCCCCAGUGUUCAGUUUUGCCAUCGACUGAUACAUACAAGUAAAUGCAAGUCACAAGAAAGUUCUUGGUGUUUUCAUUUCUCUUGACGAAAAAGAAACUUAGCCAUCAAAUUUUCAGUUCGGGAAGCAGACCAGGAUGGACCAGUACUUUGUGAAGGCCAACCACUGAUCGUAUUCUUUAGAUGCCUAAAUAAACAACUUUCUUCUUAAUCAGCUUAUGGGCCUUUCUCUUUAUGGCAAUUAAAGAAUCACGUAAGUUUUUAAUGGGUCCUUCACCAAAACUCCACAUGUAUAUUUAGUGUUAUUGGGAUCGCACAAUCUCUAAUGUACCAUGACCAUCAUUCAAUAUAUAAGCUUUCCCUUACAUAUCUCAGUAAAACAUUAAAAGAGUAAAAUAAUUUUUGUUAUGACCCACCACUCAUUUUCUGGACAUACACCCUAUGAUCCAACAUACCUCAGCGAUCAUUGAAUGAUUAGUCUUGCUUUGUAGUGUCAACUGUGUAUCAUAUAUGUACGGAAGAAAGUGUUCCCUUCCAAUCAACACCAUAUGAAGUACUUGGUCGGAUUCUACGUAGUACUCUGGUAUAUUUCCUUUCUUAGAUAAUCAUAAGUUGUUCUGUGCCCGAGAGUUGGCAAACAUAUCAUCCAUUCAUAUUUUAUAGAUCACAGACUAACGAUCGGGUUCAGGAUUUGAUUGACCGUUUUGUUGAAGUCUGUGUUGAUAGCAUCGUUGAAAGAUGGCUAAAAAGGGAAAUAGUUUAAUCUCUCGGGACGAUGAAUGUAGGGUUCAUCCUUGCAUGGCUCACACAAGAGAUCAAGAGGCGGCAACCUCUUUAGUGUGCUGAAUCAAGACUGAAGGUACGAGGUCUUUAAGCUUGAUAAAUUAUGGCCUCCACGGCAUUUCAUUUUCCAGUUUAUGGCCAGUUAUUGAAUUGGGCAUAAACAAGUUUCAGCUUAUGUCCCGAGAGCAGAAAUAGAGAAAUUGCAGCUCAAAGAUCAGUACACGUAAAUAAUCUGCUAUAAAAUUCUCUCUAUUGCAAGUUCACAUACUUUUAAAAAAAAUAGUUAACUUUGAAAAAAUAGCAUUAACAAGAGUUGUAUCUGCCUGAUCAAAACCAUUUGUGAGAUAAGUUGUUAGUUAAUAAAAAAAUCCAAUGUUGCUUAACCCCAAUUUUCUUAGAUUACUGUACAAAAAAUUGAUAAAACUUGCAAUGUUUUUGAAGAUGCCGCUGGUGCUACGGAAGGCCUUUUUUCUGGUAGUGCAAAUCAAUCAAAUGAAGCUACUCGCGCACAUUGAUGUCUUUCUUAUAAAUCAAUAUAGGUGGCUCUUUUGCAGGACAUUCUUAGCAGCAGAAAUUGGUGUCACGGCUAGAAGUGGAGAUGCACAAUCUGUUACUUUCUCAUGGAAGUAUAUACUAUUAAAUUAUUAGAUACACAGGAAUAAACAAAAAUAGUUACAUGUAAAACGAGCCUAAAUAAUAAAACACGAUUGGUAAUAGUGCUGAUUGUAGACACAUAUUGUUCAUUACUUCUCUUCUGCAAGAAUUCUAUGCUGGAUCUUAUGGUUCUCCAGCUCCAAGUGUUCUUCAUCAAAUAGGUAAAGGAAGUCGACAGGGAAGACAAAACAAGUGUGGCUUACCAAUAGGUACACUAUGACAUGAAAACAUGUCAAUGUGUUGCAUCCUAGAGCAUACACUUUAUCUGAUUAGAGACUUCAUUGUAAAAUCAUUUUUAAAUGAUUAAUAGAGCAAGAGUGUAUUUUGGAGCAGUGUUUUCACCCAAAUUACUUAACUAAUUUUACACAUAAAAACAUAUUAUACUUCCUAAUAAUAUAAUUUUGUGUUGUAAAUUUAUACUAUAUUGAUUAAAUUGAUGAUUUAUAGAUACACGCAAGGUCUAUAAACCGGUAUGGAGGGAGUACUUUCCCAGCAUUGGCACCGGUAAUGUAGAGCAAGAUGUGUGUAAAUUGAUCAACGUUACAAAAACAUUAGAAAGCAAAUUGUUCUGUCACGAAGUCUCAGUUUUGAAGCAUAUAAACCUGAAUUGUGCUUAUGUUUUCUGUUAAAGAGUACAUUUGAAAUUUACAAUAAUCAUACUGCAUACUUGAAGUUCACAAAAGCGAACUAGCUAUACUGUAUACUGAUCAAGUGAUUGAAGAUAGAGGCAAAUACAGACAACAUGAUAUUUAUAAAUGAAUAUUCUUGCCGAGAUUUACCUUAGACUUGUGCGAGUUAGUUGUGAGCAUACAUGCUAACAUAUAGUUAAUUACUAAAAGUAUUAGAUUUACUAUAUUAAGAUUCUAUAUGGAAUUGGAGCAGCAUGGGACUGAACUAUCUGGUGCCGGCAGCCAACACAUUAGUCGUUCUUGAUGGGAGAACACCAAUUAACAUCGCCCCAAUAUGCAUGUGCAGAUGUUAUUCAACUGCAGCUGAGGAAACAUUUCAGUGUUUUUGUUGCAGCAUGAUGUUCAGGGAUGGGAGCACACAAGGCCAACGGGACUAGCAAGUUGGGACGUGCCUUCUUUGCAUGAAUAAAGAUAUUGUCUUGACCAUUCUAUGCCAAUUUAUGACUCAGUGAUUAAAUUAAUUAUUAUGGUUUAUUCGUAAGAAAAACGGUGGUGCUAAUGUUAAUGCAUGCAUGAUGAUGUCAAGUAGUUCAACAACAUCAACCUUAUUUAUUGGAACAUGGGCAUCAAGUUAUCCCGGCAUCGUCAGCUUGCAUCGGAAAGAAAAAAGGGUGAAACCACUUAGCUGCCUCUGGAUAAUUUUGUUUUCUUAAAACAAUGUGAUACACAAAAUAUAAAUUGUCUCCCAUG